rnacentral:rRNA from 1 species
UACGUAGGGGGCAAGCGUUGUCCGGAUUUAUUGGGCGUAAAGAGCGUGUAGGCGGUUUGGUAGGUCCGUUGUGAAAACUCGAGGCUCAACCUCGAGACGCCGGCGGAAACCAUCAGGCUAGAGUCCGGAAGAGGAGAGUGGAAUUCCUGGUGUAGCGGUGGAAUGCGCAGAUAUCAGGAGGAACACCGGUGGUGAAGGCGGGUCUCUGGGCAGUAACUGACGCUGAGGAGCGAAAGCGUGGGGAGCGAACAGG